GGAUCGUGGCGACGGGUGAGUAACACGUGAGCAAUCUGCCCCUGACUCUGGGAUAACCGUUGGAAACGGCUGCUAAUACCGGAUACGAGACGUGACCGCAUGGUCAACGUUUGGAAAGAACUUCGGUCAGGGAUGAGCUCGCGGCCUAUCAGCUUGUUGGUGAGGUAAUGGCUCACCAAGGCGUCGACGGGUAGCCGGCCUGAGAGGGUGACCGGCCACACUGGGACUGAGACACGGCCCAGACUCCUACGGGAGGCAGCAGUGGGGAAUAUUGCACAAUGGGCGAAAGCCUGAUGCAGCAACGCCGCGUGAGGGACGACGGCCUUCGGGUUGUAAACCUCUUUUAGCAGGGAAGAAGCGAAAGUGACGGUACCUGCAGAAAAAGCGCCGGCUAACUACGUGCCAGCAGCCGCGGUAAUACGUAGGGCGCAAGCGUUAUCCGGAAUUAUUGGGCGUAAAGAGCUCGUAGGCGGUUUGUCGCGUCUGCUGUGAAAACUGGAGGCUCAACCUCCAGCCUGCAGUGGGUACGGGCAGACUAGAGUGCGGUAGGGGAGAUUGGAAUUCCUGGUGUAGCGGUGGAAUGCGCAGAUAUCAGGAGGAACACCGAUGGCGAAGGCAGAUCUCUGGGCCGUAACUGACGCUGAGGAGCGAAAGGGUGGGGAGCAAACAGGCUUAGAUACCCUGGUAGUCCACCCCGUAAACGUUGGGAACUAGUUGUGGGGUCCAUUCCACGGAUUCCGUGACGCAGCUAACGCAUUAAGUUCCCCGCCUGGGGAGUACGGCCGCAAGGCUAAAACUCAAAGGAAUUGACGGGGACCCGCACAAGCGGCGGAGCAUGCGGAUUAAUUCGAUGCAACGCGAAGAACCUUACCAAGGCUUGACAUAUACGAGAACGGGCCAGAAAUAGUCAACUCUUUGGACACUCGUAAACAGGUGGUGCAUGGUUGUCGUCAGCUCGUGUCGUGAGAUGUUGGGUUAAGUCCCGCAACGAGCGCAACCCUCGUUCUAUGUUGCCAGCACGUAAUGGUGGGAACUCAUGGGAUACUGCCGGGGUCAACUCGGAGGAAGGUGGGGAUGACGUCAAAUCAUCAUGCCCCUUAUGUCUUGGGCUUCACGCAUGCUACAAUGGCCGGUACAAAGGGCUGCAAUACCGUGAGGUGGAGCGAAUCCCAAAAAGCCGGUCCCAGUUCGGAUUGAGGUCUGCAACUCGACCUCAUGAAGUCGGAGUCGCUAGUAAUCGCAGAUCAGCAACGCGC
rnacentral:rRNA from 1 species